rnacentral:lncRNA from 1 species
UUAUGAUGGAUAACUAUUUUUUAUUACUUUCAAAUAAUUUCAUAAAACUUCAAUUUUAUUUUGAAGGAAAAGAAAUGGUUGUUGACAGUGCUUUAGAAAUUAGGAUUAAGCUGCCAGUAACCUUGAUGUCAGGCAGUGGAGCAAGCAAUAAAAUGAAGAAAUGUGAGAAGACAGCCUUGUCUUGGACAAAGUAUGGCCAUAAAACUAAUUCCUGGCCAAUGGCCUAUGGGCUUGAAGAAUGGAUUAAUCUUCUGAGCUGUUCUCUUAAGAGAAUCCUGGGUGCCUUCAACUUUCUCAAUUUCUCCUUCCUGCUGGCUAGAAUGAGGACGAUGGAAAGAACUACUGUGGACUAUGUGAAUUAAGCAACACACUGGUGAUGGCAGAGAAAACAGGUAAAAGGAAACUAGAACCUUGAGACUGUGGAACCGCCAUACCAGCCCUGCAAUUUUGUGCCCAGAAUUGAGAAUUUUCUGUUGGGUAUUGCUGCUCAUCUAGAAAACACCAGCUACCAAUAGAUGUCCUCUCUGUGCCGAAAUACUGCUUACCUCAGGGGAUAUUGGCUUGCUUGCUUCCUUUUCUGCCACCGCCCUCCCCCACACCCCCCACCAUGCAAAUCCCCCUGGGAAAGAAGAAAGUUGGACAGGAACAAGAUAGGUUAGACACUUACAAAUCAACUCAUCAACAAGUCACAGAAGGCAUAAUUUUAAUUCUGAAAGAGAAUAUAAAUCCUAUGAGCCCUGGCAAUGUCCACAUUGAAAUUUAUGACAAUAGUUUGGGAGGUGGAAGCAGAGAAAGAGACCUGAUGGGCGUGUGGGAACCCUACUAUUAAAUAGCACAGAGGGAAGAGGAACUGUUUUAAGGUGAAAGACUACAGAAUAAAGUUUUGAGAAUAUUAUUUAAAGUCCUGAUGGUAACCGAUAGAAAACCUAGAAAUAAGAUUGUAUCUGACUAAAUAUGGGACAAGUCAGGAGGAGUGUAGAGUAAUAUUGUGUGACUGAGCACAAUCCCCACAUUUGGUAGCCCCUGAGAUGGACUCCCGUGAUCCCUGACCCGAGCUAUUGUAACACUUUGUAAUCCCAUCCGUUUGACCAUAGACCAGACUUACUGACUUCUAACAAAUAGGAUACAACAGAAGUGUUGAGAUGUCACUUCCCAGAUUAGUUUACGCAGAAACUUUGGCUUUAUCUGAGGCACCCACUCUAUUGCUCUCCGGAUUGCUCCAAGGGAAGACAGCUGCCAUUUGAUGAGCUGCCCACAUGACAGAGAACAGGCCAAUAGCCCUCAAAGAAUUGAAACCUACCAACCAGGGGAGUGAGAUUGGAAGCAUAUAUUCCUUCGAUUAAGAGUUCAGAUGAGAAGACAGUUCCUGCCAAUACCUUGAUUGCAACCUUAUGAGAAAUCUUGAGGUGGAGACCUAGCUAAACCAUGCCUAGAUUCCCGACUCACAGACUGUGAGAUAAUAUACUAAAAAUACAUCACUAAUUUAGAAUAAAAAUCAAACAAGCUGUCGAAGAAUGUACACAAAAGUUGAAAAAAUAUUACACCAAAGAUGAUAGACAAAGCACGGCAAUCCAUUCUAAGAAAAGAGGUAUUUGCAAGGGCAAAUGAGAACAAAUGGAGCCAAAGCAAUAAAUUAAGAGAGGAAAAUUUUUGUAAGCUAUAAAAAUGAUCUGAGCUUGUAGUCAAAAGGAGUCAAGAUAUUGCAUGCAACAUUGAUGAGUAGAGACCCAUGCUUAGAAAUCAUCUGAAAAAAAGUAUUUUAGAAAUAAAGGGAGUAAGCCUGUAAAUGUUCAGGAAGAAUACAUGGAAUUGAUAUUUUUUAAAAUAACUAAAAUUCAUUCUCCUCCAAUACACUGGCCACAAAAAAGUGAAGCAACUUUUAUAUGAAAUGAAAAAAAGUGGUUGUCUUCUAAAGUUGUGCACAAAAGCCACUGAAAGACAUGCUCAGACAUAAAAGGGCUAUGAAAGUAAACAACUAUUAACUCUUCUUUUAAAAAAUAUGUAUAAACUGUAUUUAAUUGAAUGAGCAAUAAAAUAUUAAGAAAAUGGGAUACAUAAGUCUGCGUGGGAAACACUGAUGUCAGUUAAGUAUGUGGGUUGAAAUAAAAAUAUGAUAACUUUAGUCUGACUCUAAAAGUAAAUGUGUAUAAAUACUUAAACAUUCAUAGCAAGAAGUUUAAAGUGAUUUGAUUUUUAUUGAAUUUGAUGAAGGUAUUACAUUCUGGGGUGUUUUUGAAAAAGUGAAAGAGAACCAGUAAAAGAUCUUAUCAGUUAACUUUUACUAUGUAACAAACCACCCCACAACUUACUGAGCCAAAACAACCACUAUUUAUUUAGCUUAUGAGUCUGUGGGUGAGCAAUUUGGAUUGUGCUCAGCGGGCCAGUUCUUUUGUUCACAUCUGGCCUCAUGAAUGCAUCUGAGUUCAACUGCCAGGUGAGCUGGGGAACUAAAUAUUUGAGGAUGGCUUCUGCUAGGACAGCUCCUCUUUGCUCCAUGUGGUCUCCCAUGUUCCAGUAAGAUAGUCGAUGCUUUUUCAUAUGCCAGUGGAGGAAUUUUCCAAGAGAGCAAUUGGAAAACAUGCAAGGCCUCUUAAGUUUGAGGCCUGAAACAUGAUUUCACUUCCAUUGCAUUUUGUUGGUCAAAGCAAAUCACAAAGCCAGCCCAGACUUCAGGGUGGAAAAAUCAACUCUUAACUCCUGGUGGGAAAUUCUGCAAAAUUAUGUUGCCAAGCACCAUGGAGACCAGAGGUGAAUAAUUACAGCCAAUAUUACAAUCUGCCACAGCCUAACAUCUGGCCUUAAUUAUUCACAUCCCUCUCACAGGCAAAAUAUACUCACCUCCGGAGUCAUCCCGAAGUCUAAUCUAAUCACAGCAUUAGGCUCAAAGUUCAGAAUCUUGUGAUCUGUAUUUGGUCUGAUUGUAGCUCCUCUUGACAUGGAGGCCUCUGACCUAAAAAGACAAGUUGUCUGUCACCCAUAUACCCUACCUACAAUAGUAAGGCAGGGCAGAAUAACCACAAGAGAUACUCCCAUUCAAAAAAGUGGGAGGAUUAAAGGCAUAUAACAGUCAUGGUCCAUAGACAUUAUAAAAUUCAGCCAAGCAACUAUUUCUACUCAGAGGCAGUAAUGUUCCUUGAUUAAGGCCCAGCUUGAAUCCCAGGAAGUGGCUUCCCAAUAAAUUGUUCUCCAUGACCCGUGGCUCCUCUCACUAGCUGCCCUUCCUUUAUAAUGCUGUCAAGUCAACUUGAGUAUGAGCCUGCUCAAUGAAAUGUGGCUCAGCUGUCCCUUUGCCACCAUGGCUGACAACCAGCCAACCCCAGAAGCAGAGCUACCCUACUCUGUGCAUGCAGGAUUCCAACUGAGCCAUUGAAACUCACCCUAAAUUGCAAGCCUACUGAAUCCGAGUUAAAUAACUGUCUUUGUUUUAGCUACUCUAUUUUAAUGUAGUUUAUUAUAUAGAAAUAGCUAACAACCCAUGAAGUUUUAAAAAAGAGUAUACCUACUGCAGUAGAUUUAAGAAAAAUAAAAUUAUAGUCCUUAUAAAGAGAUAAAACACAGCUAACAGAAACAUAAAAACAGAGGAUCAAGUGUAUCACUUAUUUCAGAAAGUAAUAAAUAGGCUAAAUCCUGUUCCUCAGGUAAAAGGAAAAUACUGUCAUUCAGUUCAAAAUAAAUUUCAGCUAUAUGUGGUUAACAACAUUUCUAAAAUGAUAUGAUAGAGAAAUGUCAAUAAAAGUGUGGGCAGAUAAGUAUUAGCAAAUAGAAGCAAAAAAAAAGAAAGGCAGUGAUUACAUUAUUAUAAAAUUAAAGACUCAAAAGCUUCAAAGGUAUUAAUGGUCUAUUUAUUUUUAAAUAGAUAAGGGGUUAAGUCAAUAAUACAUAACAAUUAUAAAUCAUUACUUAGUAUCAUAAAAAUAUGUAAACAUUAUGAGUUCAAGAGAAAAAUGACAAAUAUUUACAAAUUAAAUUUGAAUUAAGAUUGAUUUAUUUAGAUUCAAUAUUCUAUAAAGAGUGAAUACGCAUUAUUCUCAAGCAUCCCUAGAAUGUCUAAAAAUCUAUCACAUAGUAGAUAAUAAAGAAAACUUCAAGAAAAUCUCAGAAAUCAAAAAUUUCAAGGGUUCAUUUUCUGAUAGACCAAGGGCCCUUAUCCAUGUAUGGGCUUCAGAAAAUCCAUAGGCUUCCUGACACAGUAUUUUGUGUUUAUGAUCAUUUUCUCUGUGUUGCAUGUACAGUUUUUCAUCAAUAUUCCAACUAAUCCCAAUCCUUCAUAAAUAUGAGAUUAGGAGCUAAUAAAGACAAUUAUAAUGAAAAGUUAAAACUCCAGACACACAAAAUUUCUAAAGAAAAAAUAUUUUAAAUGUUAGUAUUUAAUAUGAUACAAACAUGGUAUAAACUACUGUCUGCAUUUAAUGAACAGAUGUGUGUAAUUGGAAUUGCUCUAGGUUUACAGUGGACAUAAUUGUCAUGUUUAUUAAUCAAUGAUCCAUAAAUAAGAGUGCUUGUUAGUGAGUCCUGCAUGCAUACUGCAAUAAAUAUAUGGCUUAUUGUUUUAUGUGUAUGAUUUUUAUCAAUUAGAAAUUUUUUCUUGCAAGUGAAAGAAAAUCUAUUGCCUGUUCUAUUUACAGACAGGCUCCUUCCUUAGAGAACUUGAGCAACUCCAGAAAUACAUAAUCUCAGCUUCCCAAAAUUUCCCUCUAGAACCUCCCUCUAUCUCGGAAGUCUCCAAAAAGUCUCAUGAUAUUUCUUUGGCUCUGAUGGCAUCACCUGAGUGUCCAUGAACUAAUCAUUGACAACAGGGAAAAGUGGGGAUCUGAUUGGCUAUGCCUAAUUCACAUAUCCCAAUAGACCUCCACCCAAUCACAUUUGCUGAGAGCAAUUGAUGAGUAGAUUCCAAGUUCAAAAUGGGAAUAACUAUCUAAACUAGCUGAAUAAAUAAUGUUACUAGUAACAUGAUACAUACAGUCUAUUGAAUAUAAG